CAUAACCAUAUGUUGUUCCAUCCACUACAGGGCUCUUUGAACCAUUCUCUGACGGUGUCCAUUAUCAGAUCCUUUGGAGAAAAGCAGCUCGCAUAGUACAUUAAUAUCACAUUAUGAAUGUCUGUUUUUCUAUGAAAAGAAGAGAUAAAUCAUCUCUGGAACAGAGAAACAACAAAAUGUAGUUCUGCUUAUCAGACCCCAUUGGCCUGGAGCGGCGAACUGCGGCCAGUGGGACCCGCGAUUGGCCAAACCUGUGGAUGCGGGAGGUAAACAAACUGGCCCGGACCACCAGGGGCUUUCCCUGAACAAAAUGAUCCAGUGAUGAAUCUAUUGAUGCCAUACCCAAGUUUCACAUGAGAUUUAAACAUGGGUAGAAGUUAACCAAAACAAGCCAAUCAGAACAUGUAAUAAUGCUUAAACCAUAUGAGAAAAUAUCAGCCAAAACACACAGAAAAAUUCUAGGAAGAAUAUUUGUUGAAAUGAAUUACUGAAGGGACAUAUCAAUAAGGACAGAUCAUAUUGUAUUGCUGCAUGCCGGACCUAUCUGGUUUGAAUCUUAUGAAUUUCUAGCUGCAGUUACUGGGAGUAUGAACAUAGUAUCUGCCAUUCAAGAGUGCAAUCUGAUUGCAAUGAAGAGGCUUCAUCUUUGAGAGGAAUAAAAAACAGUUAAGAUGAAGGCUGCUGAUUUGAAUACUGCCUGAUAUAGAAACACAGAAUAGCAGAUUAGAUCUGUAUUUGGAGGAGUCAGAUUUGAUUUGGCAAUUUUCUUCAGGCUAUAACAGCAUUUGUAUGUAAACAGUUACACUGACAGUGGUUUUCAUGUGUGAGAAAAUUCUUCCUGAAUAGUCACAAUUUUCCUUCAACUUUUAUUCUGCAAAUCAUUAGAUACUCAUUUGUACGUUUCCACAGUUGUCUGUAAUCACAGUACUAAUAAAAGCAGGUGCUGGUGACAUAUUUUGAAAGUGAACUAAAAAAGCUUUUUACUCAGCAUAAUGCCAGCAGAGGGCUUUGUGUUUCCCUUGACUAGGUGAUGCCAUCACUAAUACUUAACAGUGCAGGGAACUAUAUUCUUUGCACUGCUUUAGGUGUUUACAAGAUCAGUAGUAGUAUGGAAGCUUAGCAGCACCUACAACUCAGGUCUUGCCAAAUUAGCAAAGGAAGGAAUAAUUUUCCACUCAGCAGAUAUCCAGAAAGAGGUCAAUGGUACCAGCAUCUGUCUUCUUUCAAACUGAAUUGCUCUUCCCUGCUCCCUCACUUUGAAAGAGUUAA